GCAUUAAACAACCUGGGCGCACUAUCAUUGCACAGAAGUGUAAAUGGAAACUAAAAAUUACACUUAUUAUCAUAAAUAAAUACAAAAGCAGUUUGUAAUGAGCUAUAUUUACUAUAACUUUGCCAUGGUACAAUGAAUUAUGCACUCCAAAUCUAAUAACGUACAUCUACUGGAAUAUCACUGGGUACAUGCCCUAAAAUAGUGCUUCUUUUGUAUUUUUACAGUUAAAUAUUCAUUGGGGCAGCACGGUUCGACAAGGUAGCAGAAUUCGACAGAACGCCGGCCCUCUUUCUCCAGUCCAGCUCCGCCCGCCCUCUCAUCAACAGACUUUUGGAAGAAACCAAAGUCACUGGAAAAGAGGGGGAGAUCUGAGAUUUUGAGGCAUGAUAUUUAAUAUAAUUAAAAUAAUAUAUUUCACCGUUCCUAUUAAAUUAUGAUUAUUUACGUUUAUAUCUCACGUUUUAAUACAAUAUAACAUAUAAUGAAUAUAUUAAAACACACAAAUUAAAAACCUUUCGGGCAACAAAAAAACCCCGAACCUAGUUUUGAAUGGUCGUGGCUCCACUCCACUGAAUCAGUAGCCACAAGAAGGACGUCCUUUUCUCCGGGAGCUGCAUGGGGACUGCAGGAGUCCAAAGCCUCGCUGUGUUUUAUGGGGAACAGUUAUUAAUAUUGGGUCAAAUAAUCCAGUAUUUCUUCACUCUGGUGCUGAAGGUGCGCUGCGCUGCUCUUUACUGUGUUAACCCCUUUACUCUGUUUUCAUUUAAAGCCCCUCAGUCUUAAAACGGCGGCACUAGCGGGCCUCCAGCGGGCCUUCAGCACCGAUAGUGAUUAUUACCCUGCCGGAUUAGAUUAGAGCAGCGCGGCGGAGCUCUGUAAGUCCCGGUGACGCUGCAACUGGAUUUUAUAAAGAUAUGAGAGGAGAAUGCUUUCGUCGAGGAUUUAACAUGAAAAGGCCCAGUUCCAAAAGACACAACAUCCUCAGUGUCCUGGAGCUCCAGCUGAAGCACUGGCCACUCCACCUUCUCCAUCCCCACCCAAAAGAGGAAGAUCAGCAGCAGUGGAGGGUCCCAGGAUGUUGAGAUGGUAGUGCAGAGCGGUACUUCUAAGGCAGCUAGUUAAAGGCGUGAUUGAGGUCCAUGCCAGAGGGGUUCUGCACUGUGACCUCAAGCCAUAGAACAUCCUGGUUCAGAUGUACAGUUAGGAACCACGCCUUCAUCUUCUGUUCUUCUGGACCUUCCUCAUGAGUGGUUUACCCAUGAGGCCAAAUCCUCCACAGUGUUGCAGAUAGGAAUCAUCCUGCUGUGUGUGAGAGGUGACCCUUCAACACCAGCACGGAGAUCACCUCAAAGAAGUCUCAGAUCAUCUCUCCACCAUCUGCUCUAUGACCCCUGGCUAAGUAUACACCACGACACAGCCACCACAUCAGGCACACCUCAGUCAGGUACCAUAUAAAACAAUAAUAAUAAUAAUUUAAAAAAAUCUAUAUUUUCAAUCUCUAGUUUAGAGAGUUCUCUAGUAGAGCUGGGCGAUUAAUCGAUUUUAUCGAUAAAUUAGAAUUUAUAGUUAAGGACAAUGUGUUUUUUAUGAAAAUCGAUUUUCUCUGAGUUUUCUUUUUCACCACAGACGCUCCUCUGUGGGCACAGAGUGAGCUUAGCUAGCUCCCUCCAGCGCGCGCACCCCCCACCCCUCCCUCACUCCCUCCCUCCCACCCUUGCACGCACAAACACACACGCACACACACACACACAUACACAAAACACAUGACGGCGGAGCUUAAGAGCAACUAGCUCCGUGAUCUGGAGUUGGUUCGGUUUUGCGGCGUCGGACGUAGACCAAACAGGUCCUCGCUGUAAGGUGAACCAAUUUAUCACUAUACCUUAAACAGAACCAUGUAGCGGAGUGGGAGAAGUGCUGCUACCAUAGGAAUGAACGCAGCAGCAGCACUAGUUCACCAUUCAACGUUAAACAAGGAACUGUCCCUGGCACAUCUUCCAACCGUGUACCAGGUUCUGUAUGCACUACAAGUUAAGAUGUUUUGCAUAUUCAUGAGAAAAGAUCUCAUUUUAUAGAACACUGGCACUUAUUUAAAAGCUUUGUUUUGCAAUUCUAGCCCAAUAGGGAAAAGUAUUUACUUAAGAGCAUAUAAAUUGUACUUGUUUUCUAUUGUCUACUUUGUAAGUUUUAUCAAAAAAGGGCACCAUUUUAUUUAUUUCUAUUUGUUUUUAAGGGUGUGUUUAUUUAUUUAUUUUUUAAGUUUGAGGGUGCAUUGUGUCUACCUAAACUAUGUUGGAGAAAGCUUUCUAAAAGUCACUAGAUGUUCUCACUGUUUACAAUAGUUUUUUUUUGCUUGUUUCUGGUUGCACUUUAACCACAAAUGGAACAUUUUAAGUGAAAACAAAUUAAAUAAGAACUAGUUUUUAACCAUUUCUUUAUCAUCUUUAGUUUGAUUUUUAGUAGGGGAAAAAAUUGAUUUAAUUCGAAAAUUGGAUUUAAAAAAAAAAAAUCUAAGAUUUUUUUUUUUUUGGCCAUAUCGCCCAGCUCUAUACUCUAGUUUAGAGGGUUUUUUUAUAAAACACACCUAAGGAAAAUAGCAGGUAUUAAUAAAGCUAUUGAUUCCAUACUUUUAAAAAGGUAAUGAUUUUUCUUUAACUAUAUAAAUGUUUUAAUCGUUUUGUGUAUUGUAUGCUUUUAAUUGCUUCCUGUUUUGUAUUUGUGUUCAUGUACUUAAGGCUUUAAUCCUUUUAUCUUGAUAUUGUUUAUCUUUUGAUGUUUAUUAAUUACUUAACUGUAUUUCUUUAUGUAGUAUACUGUUAGUGUUUUAAUCUAUACACUUUUUGUAUAUAUUUAUUUUAUUGCUUAGUUACUUGCUUUAUUAAUGGUUAUUGUAUUGGUGUUUUAGUCUUAUUUUGGGCUUAUAUUCAUUAAAAACAUUUUAACGUUUGUCUUUUAGUGCUUUAAUCAAUUAAUAUUGUACUUACCUUUUACUAUUUUACUAUUAAUCUUUCUGUACUUAAUUAUACAUUAUUUUUUAUUUAUUUUUUUAUAAAAUUAAAGGCGGGUUUAUUAAUUGUAUGUAUUUAUACGGGAUUUUAUAUUUGCAUUGUAUAUAUUUUUGUUUCAUUUAAUGUUUAUGCUCUUUGUCUUUUUCAGAUUUUUACAUUUUUAAUUUGUGUAUUGACCCAAGGAGUAUGGGUUCCUCUCAAGGUUUCUAUCUCUCUUUCUGAGAGAAUUUUCUUUGCCGCUGUCUCCUUUGUGCUUACUCAAGAGGUUUGGACACUUUUUUUUUUUUUUUAACUGUUCUUAAUUUUGUUUGUUUCUUAACUUUGUCAAUAAAUGUUUUUUUAUUGCUA